AUGGCCCCUAAUAGAGCCCCUGGACCCGAUAAUAUCCCUGCUGAGUUCUAUCAGGUGUGCUGGGAUGUCGUUAAAGACGACAUUAUGGCCCUUUUUAAAGCUUUUCAUCAAGGGACGUUGGAUGUCCAGAGGCUUAAUUAUGGAGUUAUUACUCUGCUCCCAAAAGUUUCUGGAGCCGAGAAAAUCCAGCAGUACAGGCCUAUUUGCUUGCUG
rnacentral:rRNA from 1 species